rnacentral:rRNA from 1 species
GGUGAGUAAUACAUCGGAACAUGCCCAGUCGUGGGGGAUAACACUUCGAAAGAAGUGCUAAUACCGCAUACGUCCUGAGGGAGAAAGCGGGGGAUCGCAAGACCUCGCGCGAUUGGAGUGGCCGAUGUCAGAUUAGCUAGUUGGUGGGGUAAAGGCCUACCAAGGCAACGAUCUGUAGCUGGUCUGAGAGGAUGAUCAGCCACACUGGGACUGAGACACGGCCCAGACUCCUACGGGAGGCAGCAGUGGGGAAUUUUGGACAAUGGGGGCAACCCUGAUCCAGCCAUUCCGCGUGAGUGAAGAAGGCCUUCGGGUUGUAAAGCUCUUUCGGCAGGAACGAAACGGCGAGCUCUAACAUAGCUCGCUAAUGACGGUACCUGAAGAAGAAGCACCGGCU